AUGUUCCCUUAACAUGGGGAAUACCACUAUUAAGAAGGUGGUUUCCCCAGAGAGAGGCUUUUUCAUUGCACUUCACUUGGGUUGAUCCCUGUGAUUUCCCCAAAUGUAGGAAACUCAACUGCAUACUUUAUGGUAGUUUGGGACUGCAUUUGUUCUCUUUAU